rnacentral:rRNA from 1 species
UACUCGAGUGGCGAACGGGUGAGUAACACGUGGGUGAUCUGCCCUGCACUUCGGGAUAAGCUUUGGAAACUGGGUUUAAUACCGGAUAGGAACCAUCUUUAGUGUGGUGGUUGGAAAGUUUUUUCGGUGUAGGAUGAGCUCGCGGCCUAUCAGCUUGUUGGUGGGGUAAUGGCCUACCAAGGCGGCGACGGGUAGCCGGCCUGAGAGGGUGUACGGCCACAUUGGGACUGAGAUACGGCCCAG